rnacentral:rRNA from 1 species
UACGUAGGGUGCGAGCGUUAAUCGGAAUUACUGGGCGUAAAGCGUGCGCAGGCGGUGAUGUAAGACCGAUGUGAAAUCCCCGGGCUUAACCUGGGAACUGCAUUGGUGACUGCAUCGCUCGAGUAUGGCAGAGGGGGGGUAGAAUUCCACGUGUAGCAGUGAAAUGCGUAGAGAUGUGGAGGAAUACCGAUGGCGAAGGCAGCCCCCUGGGUCAAUACUGACGCUCAUGCACGAAAGCGUGGGGGAGCAAACAGG